ensembl:lncRNA
GUCUGAUUCUAGAACCUUGGCGGGCGUGGAAGUGUAUGUGUAUGAGAUAGGACUGUAGUAGGAGGGUCGUUGUGGUGGGCCCCUCUGUGUGAGAUAGGACUGUAGUAGGAGGGUCGUUGUGGUGGGCCCCUCUGUGUGAGAUAGGACUGUAAUAGGAGGGUCGUUGUGGUGGGCCCCUCUGUGUGAGAUAGGACUGUAGUAGCAGGGUCGUUGUGGUGGGCCCCUCUGUGUGAGAUAGGACUGUAGUAGCAGGGUCGUUGUGGUGGGCCCCUCUGUGUGAGAUAGGACUGUAGUCGGAGGGUCGUUGUGGUGGGCCCCUCUGUGUGAGAUAGGAGGGUCGUUGUGGUGGGCCCCUCUGUGUGAGACAGGACUGUAGUAGCAGGGUCUUUGUGGUGGGCCCCUCUGUGUGAGAUAGGAGGGUUUUUGUGGUUGGCCCCUCUGUGUGAGAUAGGAGGGUUGUUGUGGUGGGCCCCUCUGUGUGAGAUAGGAGGGUUGUUGUGGUUGGCCCCUCUGUGUGAGAUAGGAGGGUUGUUGUGGUUGGCCCCUCUG